CAUGUCUGACUAGCUACCUGCUGUAACAAUAGAGGCAGCCUCAGAGUCCCAAGCCCUAGAUACUAGUCCCAACUCUGCCACCUUGGGGCCUUUGUUCCCCCACCUGAGAAGGAGAAGAGCUCAGCUCUAAGUCCCCCCUCCCUGGCUCUGGCAUUGGACCCUCAUUGUCCUCCCUCCAUCUGGAAUUGCCUGUCUGCUGGCACACGUUCUGGCAGUUCCGCCAUGAGAACCCCCAGACCAGGGUUGGGGGCCCGCCCCCCGAGGGGCUGCCGGGCUUCAACAGUGGGGUGAUGUUGCUGAACCUGGAGGCCAUGCGCCAGUCCCCGCUCUACAGCCGCCUGCUGGAGCCGGCGCAGGUGCAGCAGCUGGCCGACAAGUACCACUUCCGCGGCCACCUCGGGGACCAGGACUUCUUCACCAUGAUCGGCAUGGAGCACCCCAAGCUCUUCCAUGUGCUGGACUGUACCUGGAACCGGCAGCUGUGCACCUGGUGGAGGGACCAUGGCUACAGUGAUGUCUUUGAGGCCUAUUUCCGGUGUGAGGGCCACGUCAAGAUCUACCACGGGAACUGCAACACUCCCAUCCCAGAGGACUAGGCGCACCCCUGCCUUGCCCCCGGGGCCUCCAGAUCUGGGGGAAGGACAGGGCUCCUUGGGACAGACCCAGGGGCAGUGUCUGA
rnacentral:sRNA from 1 species